UCCAGCAGCCGCGGUAAUACGUUCCCGGGCCUUGUACACACCGCCCGUCACACCACGAAAGUCGGCAAUACCCGAAGCAGGCGCAGCCAACCCCUUGUGGGAGGCGGUCUGCGAAGGUAGGGCUGGCGAUUGGGGUGAAGUCGUAACAAGGUAGCCGUACCUGAAGGUGCGGCUGGAUCACCUCCUUUCUAGGGAGAAGGUAGGGCAGCAAUGCCCGACCGAUCGGACACCGAUACAAAGGAUGGCUGGAGCGUUUGCUCGCCACUUUGCGGUGUACCGCUCUAGGAUAUUUCGACCGGUCUCUGGCGGAGGGUUCCUACUCUCUAAGAGUAGCUGCUAUUCAGUUUUCAGGGCCUUGUGGUCCUGACCUUUUGGCGUGCGCCCGCGAGAGCGUGGUGUCUGUUCUUUGAAAACCGCAUAGCGCGAUCCAAUGUACCAUCAAGAUACUAAGGGCGUAUGGUGGAUACCUAGGCACACAGAGA
rnacentral:sRNA from 1 species